rnacentral:rRNA from 1 species
UACGGAGGGGGCUAGCGUUGUUCGGAAUUACUGGGCGUAAAGGGCGCGCAGGCGGCUGCUCAAGUCAGGCGUGAAAGGCCUGGGCUCAACCCGGGAAUUGCGCUUGAGACUGGGCUGGCUUGAGUGCGGGAGAGGAUGGUGGAAUUCCGAGUGUAGAGGUGAAAUUCGUAGAUAUUCGGAAGAACACCAGUGGCGAAGGCGGCUCACUGGCCCGUUACCGACGCUCAGGCGCGACAGCGUGGGGAGCAAACAGG